rnacentral:lncRNA from 1 species
UGGCUGGAUAGAUGUCAUCUCACGUGGAUCAUUCCCUUCUGCAUGAUGUUCUCUACAUAGGGAAUUCAUACCAGGAACCUGAACUUGAUUCCUGAUGGUAUUCUCUGAGAUGUUUCAUAAAGAAGGAAAAUAUUUUAGUCUAUGAAUAUUUUUGGCAAAAAGUAGUUUUGUUUGCUUGCUUGCUGUGCUUAAUAUGGAAGCCAGAGCCUCACACAUGCUACGCAAGCACUGACCUACCGCCCCAGCCCCAAAAGUAGCUUUCAGGUCUGAACUCUCCACUUUAAAUCUUCAUUCUUUUUCUAUGAGCAAAUGCACACUGUUUCAUCAUUUAACUGCAUUGAAUUUGGAAGAGAACAUCAUAUGAUUUGGUAAUAUUUUGAUUCACGUAGUCUGUCUGGUCAAAUCUAGCUGACAAACCCAUAGCACUCUGAGCUCCCUAACAUAUGUAAUUGCUUUUUGAAAUCGGUUUGUGUCUUGUCCUCAAUUGCCUUAAUUUUGUGGAUAAGGGCUCUGCAGGCAUCUCCUAACUGCACUCUUCCUCAUCCUCCCUCUGACAUUUGUUCCCAAACUCAUACCAUUUAAGAAAUAAGCCUUGAAUGAAUAACUCAUCUCAAAGAGAAUCACUUGCUUUUCUCUGGAUUGGGCACCAUGCAGAAAAUCCCUUGCUUAUAAAUUGCCUUUAGACACAUUGACUAUGCUGUAAACUGCGCAGAAAUCUGGGUGGUAAAACCCAGGUCACACUUCUGGUUUUCUUUAUUAACUGAAAAGGAAAAGUCUUUAACAUUUCCAUUCUUACAGUGCACGCAUUUAUUGUCUACAAACCUCAUGCUAAUGUGGAAAUGCUAUACUUUCCUGGCUACUGCUCAGUUGUCAUUAAACCGAGUAAAGAUAGCAAAGAAAACCACUGACUGUUUUUAACAGUGUUUUAACAACUUUGUACACUUCCCUUCAAACUCACUAAGCACUAUCUUGGCAAUAAAAGCUUUCGACAUCAAGAAGAAAAUACCUCCAGCGUUGUUUUCCUUUCUCUCUACCACCCACAUUUAUUAAUCCAAGUCACCACCCAUGCAAAUAUGAGUCAUUUGAUGGGGACAUGUGCUUAAUAAUAAGUCACCUCAGGAUACACUAGUCUUACAUCAG